rnacentral:rRNA from 1 species
GACGUAGGGGGCGAGCGUUGUCCGGAUUUAUUGGGCGUAAAGCGUGCGUAGGCGGCUGCGCAAGUCGGUUGUGAAACCCCGGGGCUCAACCCCGGAACUGCAUCCGAUACUGCGUGGCUAGAGGUAGGUAGGGGAGAUCGGAAUUCCUGGUGUAGCGGUGAAAUGCGCAGAUAUCAGGAGGAACACCGGUGACGAAGGCGGAUCUCUGGGCCUUACCUGACGCUCAGGCACGAAAGCUAGGGGAGCGAACAGG